UCAUAAUUAAUGCAUUAUUAAUGCAAUAUUCUGUGACCGUUUUAGUUUUGAUAAGCAAUUUUCUUUUUUAAUUUAAAACAAUGAUAAAUAAAUGUUUAAAUGAAUAACACAGCCCUCUCCCCCUCUUCCCUAAUUUAAAUAGCUUUGGUUACGUUUCACAAGCAACAUCUGUUUUGACCACAGCUGUUACAGAUGUAACGGUACAUCAGAUAAUUGUUAUUGUUGUAAAUAUGUGCAGGCCGGAGUGUGGUUGUCAGUCAGCGGUGUACAGACCGAUUUCUCGGUAAUUAACGCGGUGCUGAAAUUGGAGAGAUGUGGAGGUGGUGAAUUUGCUCCGCACCCCCCAAUCUGCCUGUCAGAGGGAUGCUGAAAAAUUUCGGUUUGAGGAAGAUAUGAAAUGAAGGAUAUCUUACGUGUCUUUGCUGAUGCGCUUCGGAGGACGCUUCGCCGGAGAUGACAGCCCGUCUUCUUCUCGCCAUGUGCUGUAACAAAAGCAUCCCAUGCAUCCGAAGCCUGUCCCUUUAAAGCCUUGCUGCAUCCCUGCAGGUGGCCUGUCAAUUUAGCGGAUCCGACUGACGUCACUGCAUGGCUGGAAAAGCUGUGAGACGACGUUCAUAAUAAAAGUCAUCCGCGGUUUUAUUUUAGCAGCCUAUUUCUUUACAUUUGAAAUGACCACGCUGUUAAAAAAAUAAUUAAAAUAAAUGACAAAAGCAGUAAACCUAAGGAUGUUUGCUUGUUUGAUCUCGGUUAAGAUUAUUUCCCCGUGUGGCUGGUCUUUCUGGUCUUUGGUGGUCCGUUCUGUUAAAGCUGAC